GCCAGUGGUGAACUCCACAUACGCAUCCUUUGCUGAGGAUACGGUUAACGGAGCGAAAGCGACGUUCAACCGCAAAACAAGCAGAGGGGGCUUAGUGGUGGGGUGACUGCGUACCUUUUGUAUAAUGGGUCAGCGACUUAUAUUCUGUAGCAAGGUUAACCGAAUAGGGGAGCCGGAGGGAAACCGAGUCUUAAUUGGGCGUUAAGUUGCAGGGUAUAGACCCGAAACCCGGUGAUCUAGCCAUGGGCAGGUUGAAGGUUGGGUAACACUAACUGGAGGACCGAACCGACUAAUGUUGAAAAAUUAGCGGAUGACCUGUGGCUGGGGGUGAAAGGCCAAUCAAACCGGGAGAUAGCUGGUUCUCCCCGAAAGCUAUUUAGGUAGCGCCUCGUGAACUCAUCUCCGGGGGUAGAGCACUGUUUCGGCUAGGGGGCCAUCCCGGCUUACCAACCCGAUGCAAACUGCGAAUACCGGAGAAUGUUAUCACGGGAGACACACGGCGGGUGCUAACGUCCGUCGUGAAGAGGGAAACAACCCAGACCGCCAGCUAAGGUCCCAAAGUCAUGGUUAAGUGGGAAACGAUGUGGGAAGGCCCAGACAGCCAGGAUGUUGGCUUAGAAGCAGCCAUCAUUUAAAGAAAGCGUAAUAGCUCACUGGUCGAGUCGGCCUGCGCGGAAGAUGUAACGGGGCUAAACCAUGCACCGAAGCUGCGGCAGCGACGCUUAUGCGUUGUUGGGUAGGGGAGCGUUCUGUAAGCCUGUGAAGGUGGCCUGUGAGGGUUGCUGGAGGUAUCAGAAGUGCGAAUGCUGACAUAAGUAACGAUAAAGCGGGUGAAAAGCCCGCUCGCCGGAAGACCAAGGGUUCCUGUCCAACGUUAAUCGGGGCAGGGUGAGUCGACCCCUAAGGCGAGGCCGAAAGGCGUAGUCGAUGGGAAACGGGUUAAUAUUCCCGUACUUGGUGUUACUGCGAAGGGGGGACGGAGAAGGCUAUGUUGGCCGGGCGACGGUUGUCCCGGUUUAAGCGUGUAGGCUGGUUUUCCAGGCAAAUCCG
rnacentral:rRNA from 1 species